GAUGUACGCUAGCUACAGGCUUAACACAUGCAGGUCGAGGGGCAGCGGUAUCGGAAGCUUGCUUUCGGUAGCCGGCGACCGGCGCACGGGUGAGUAACGCGUAUCGAACCUGCCUCAUACUCGGGAAUAGCCUUGCGAAAGUAAGAUUAAUGCCCGGUGUUUUCAGAGUCCCGCAUGAGGCUUUGAACAAAGAUUUAUCGGUAUGAGAUGGCGAUGCGUCCCAUUAGCUUGUUGGCGGGGUAACGGCCCACCAAGGCAUCGAUGGGUAGGGGUUCUGAGAGGAAGGUCCCCCACAUUGGAACUGAGACACGGUCCAAACUCCUACGGGAGGCAGCAGUGAGGAAUAUUGGUCAAUGGGCGGAAGCCUGAACCAGCCAAGUAGCGUGCAGGAAGACGGCCCUCCGGGUUGUAAACUGCUUUUAGUUGGGAAUAAAACGGGGCUCGUGAGCCCCCUUGCAUGUACCAUCAGAAAAAGGACCGGCUAAUUCCGUGCCAGCAGCCGCCGCGG
rnacentral:rRNA from 1 species